CCUACGGGAGGCAGCAGUGGGGGAUAUUGCACAAUGGGGGAAACCCUGAUGCAGCGACGCCGCGUGGGUGAAGAAGCGCCUCGGCGCGUAAAGCCCUGUCAGCAGGGAAGAAAAUGACGGUACCUGAAGAAGACGCCCCGGCUAACUACGUGCCAGCAGCCGCGGUAAUACGUAGGGGGCAAGCGUUAUCCGGAUUUACUGGGUGUAAAGGGGGCGCAGACGGCGAUGCAAGCCAGGAGUGAAAGCCCGGGGCUCAACCCCGGGACUGCUCUUGGAACUGCGUGGCUGGAGUGCAGGAGGGGCAGGCGGAAUUCCUGGUGUAGCGGUGAAAUGCGUAGAUAUCAGGAGGAACACCGGUGGCGAAGGCGGCCUGCUGGACUGCAACUGACGUUGAGGCCCGAAAGCGUGGGGAGCAAACAGGAUUAGAUACCCCAGUAGUC
rnacentral:rRNA from 1 species